GUGCUGAUUUCUCUCCAAUAAAGAAGUGCUACAUUUUAAGACACACCAAAAUAUUUUUGAAGAAAACAAGACUAAUAGAAAUAAUUUAAGGAAAAAGAAAGAAGAAAGAAGAAAGAACAUAGAUCCAGGGGAUAUAGACUAUACAAUAGUCUAAAACCCUAUAAAAGAAGAAAGAAGAAGAAGAAGAAGAAAACAGACAUACCCUAUUAAAGAAGAAGAAGAAGAAGAAGAAGAGAACAGACAUCUAUCCCGGUAAUCGUAAACUGAAGUGAAGUGUUUAGUGAACGCAUGGACGAUAGAAUCACCCCAGGUCCAGGAGAGAGUCGGGAAUGGAUAACAACAUGGAACCAACACACAAGUAUGAAGUAGCAUAAAAUUCUUGUCUCCUGCUGGAUAUUGUAGAACUUGACUACUGGUCAUGCAUUAGUAAUAAACUGAAGCCCUGCUGAUUCGCCACAAGGAUGGAGCCAGCUCUCUUACAUCCCAACAUGUCUGCAGAUCUUAUCCCUGACAGAGAACUGAACAACACUUCAUCCUCUGUCAUGGUACCUGAGGAUGGGUAUUUGCCACCAGUACCUCUGACAGACAUGAAGAGAAUGCAAAUUCUAGAAAAAAUGAGUGAGAAUUGUGAGUCUUUUCUGCCUCAUCAAGAUGGAUAUUUAAGAGUCCUUGACACUUAUGAGAAGGUCCUUGAAUUUAUCUUAGCAGAAGAAAAGGCUACAGGAAUGCAUUUCAUAGGUCACAGGAAGGAAGGGAUUUUUGACAGACUAGGGAAAGAUUUGAAGGCUUUUAUAGGAGAAGGACGGAAGCAUAUAAGAUACUGUGUCACUGGUGGAACAAAAGGAAGAGGUCAUGAUCCAAUUGCUGUGGAAUAUACUGGUGUCCCAUUUAUUGAAGCAGGAACAUAUGUUAUGGAGUGUCAUAUGGGCAAUGACAGUGGAUUGUGGAUCAAAAAGCGAUAUGCAAAAAGAAGGGAUAUGUUAGAAAAAGAAAAUAGUCAAUGUGUUGUGAAGAGACGAUCCAGGACACUAGAAUCAAAGAAGACAGGCUGUCCAGCUAAGGUUCACAUAAAAAGGAUUCUAAGACUGCCAGAAUUUAAGAUUAAGAAAAACAAUGUAGCAGCAAAGGAAAAGAAUCGCUCAAAGAUCGUGAAAGCCCUGAAAAGUGAGUUGGAAGAAGUUCACUUUGAGCAGGAGUACUACGUUCUCAUGCCAGGUUUGGAGUGCCACCAGUACCACGCUGCUGAUGUAGUUGCUGGAGUGAUGGUAAGCAAAACAAAGGAUGGAGAAUUACAUUUGAACCAAAUUAGAAACUAUCUUGAAAACAGGACAUACUUAUCUUCAGUUGCCCCUAAUGAGAAGAAAAGCAUCAGAACUGCUGCCAAGACUUUCAGUGUUGAAGAAUCGGUUAUGUACUAUAUUGGUGAAGAUGGCAGUGAAAAACGAAUUGUAUUGUACACGCCUGUAGAGAAACAGAAAGCCUUUGAUGAAUUUCAUGUAUUACACAAGUCUGGAGAGCACUUAGACUGUACACAAACACUGCUGAUGCUAAAACAGAAAUAUUACUGGAUGAGUAUCUCUGAGGAUGUUGUUACAAUGAUGCAGAGAUGUCAUGUGUGUGAACUUAAGAAGACCAGUACUACUGAUCAUAGACAUAUUCCCAUAAAGAAAUACAAGAAAGCCAACCACAACAGGGAGUCAACCAGGGGAAAGCACAGAAAACAUGCCUUAGCAAGAAGAAGUGCUGUGCAAGAACAAUAUAGAAUGAGGGUCAAGGUUGAGAUACCCAGCACAGAGGAAGACAGUAAGAAUUGUUUUCAGCAUGACCUGCUUCCAGUGCAAAAACAGCCUUUUUAUGAAUCAGAAGACAAGAAACACCUUAAUCUUAGAGUUAAGCAGCAUGGUUCUUUGCAAACUUUAUGUACAUUCCAAGAGGCUCUUCACUACAUUAGAGAAGAAGAGAAAGCCACUGGCAUGCAUUAUAUUGGUCAUCGAAAGGAAGGAGUCUUCGAUAAAGAUGGUCAUGAGCUAAAGGCAUUUGUGAGAGAGGGAAGAAAACACAUCCGGUACUGCAUCACUUUAGGUACAAAGGGACGAGGAUAUGACCCUGUCCCUGUAGAGUACACAGGUGUUCCCUUCAUUGAGGCUGGUACAUAUGUCAUGGAGUGCCACCUAGGAAUGGAUACUGGAAUUUGGAACAAGAGGAGAUAUGCUGCUCGAAGGGAUAGGAUAGAGGAAGAAGAAAUUGCUGUUAUAAAAAGAAGAAAUAGAAUGUACGACACUAAGAAAAUGGGGUGUCCUGCUAAGGUACACAUUAAAAGAAUUCUGAGAUUGCCAGACUUUAAGAUUUGGCAUAACACACCAGCUGAGAGAGAAAAAAAUCGCAAGAGGAUCAUAAGUGCUGUGAGAGGAGACAUAGAGGCAGUUAAUUUUGAAACAGAGUAUUAUGUUCUUAUGCCAGACCUUGAAUGCCACAAGUUCCAUACUGUUGAUGUUGUGGCAGGUGUGUUGGUUACAAAGGGAGAAGGAGGUUGCCAACACCUCAGUCAUGUUCGACAUUACUUAGAGACUGGGACUCAUGCUCGUUCGGUGCCCCUCCAUCGAAAAAAAAGUAUAAGGAAAUCUGCAAAGGAGUUUACGAUGGAAGAUGGGUUAAUGUACUAUCGAGGAAAGACUGGUUAUGAAAGAAGAUUUGUUCCUGCCACGGAGGAAGAAAAGCUCAAGGCUUUUAAUGAAGCUCAUAUUCUAAAGUCGGGCCAACAUUUCAGAAAAGCAGAGACUGUCAGACGGCUUUUGGAAAAUUGUUACUGGACCGACCUGAGUGAAUACGCUCAAGAAAAUGUUGACAAAUGCCAAGUUUGUAGUCUCCACAAGCUCAGGGCAGCCGAUGUGAAAUCCAGUUCAUUAGCUCUACAGCCAAAUAAAGUUGAAGACGGGCUUUCUGACAGUGAACAUUGUACUCAUGAGGUGGCGGCGGAGGACCUUUGCGCUGCAGAAUCUGGGGGAGGCGAAGUCCACGAGAGCUUGUUCGAUGGAGAGACCACAGUCAGCACAAUAUAUGAGAUGAGUGAUGGCGGCAGUCUGGUUGUCAUGGUUGAUGACGCGCUGGAUAUGGAAGAGGUUGGACAAAGAGCGCACAGUAGACACAUCACUAUAAAUGUAUCCUGUGCAGAUUGAAAGCUCGGGAUAGCGUGAGAUAUUGCGCUUGGUGGAGGUUACCAUUUAAAGUCACUUCCCUGACCUGACUUUGGGCUUCGAACUGCAGCAGAUCCAGAGUAACAAUUAGAGUUGCGCUUCCAAGAUGAGACGUACGAACCUCCACUUUAUUUAUCCUUAGUGGACAUGUGUGAUACACUAGUUUGUGCAACACUGCAUAUCAUUCUGCAACCAAAAGUGAUUCACCGGACGCUGUGGAAGGAUUUCUGUGAAAGGAACAAAUAUGUGAGGAGAACUUGGAUCUUUUAUGGAAUAUCUGACUGCGUGCUGCGUGUACUACAAAAUAACCUCUGAGUCCGUUUUUCUUCGUGGUUUCCUUUGUCAGUUCUGCGGCGGCACAACUGAGAAGACUAUAUUAUUUGGCUUUGAUCUGGGAGGUUGGUGAUUUACAGUCUGUUGGAAAAUAGGAGUGUAACGUAUUGUCCAUAGGUUCGACCGAUAUGUUCUUUGUUCUGUUUCGAGAUAAAUCCUAAUGGGCGAGGGAAUUUCGUUGACAUCGACCAGUUAUGUAUCACACAAAGUUUCAAAAGUGAAGCAUAUGUAAUGACAAGAGAAGUCAAUGUAGGGGAAUAUACAAAGAAACUUCUACUACUUGGAAAAGCUGUCCGUGGACGUUACAGAACACGAGCACGUAUCCGGUGCCCCUUUCCUCACCCGGACAAUAACUUCAGUCAACGGACGCCAAGACAGGGAACGGUUGACCGUCGUUACCUUUCAGCGCAAAGAAUGAGGGGGAAGACGGGUUUACUCAAGCGAAAUCAAGGCAACCGGACCGAUUCCUUACCGAAUAUUCCCAGUGAAGUUCUUAAAUAGGAGGCGAAAGACCUUACAUUCUGAAGAUCAGGAUGUUCAACAAAAUUGACCUUGCGACCCAAGUGCCGUAAGAGCAAGACGCAGCAGAAUUUCCUUGCAUCAACAUCAUGAUCAUGAUCGUCGUCGUCGUCAUCAAAUUAUUAUUAUUAUAGUAAUAUUACUACUAUUACUGUGUGUAUAUAACUAUCCAUCUAUCCAUCGUGUAUUUUGCCUCUGUCAAACUGCCUCUCCGGCGGCGCAUUCUCAGUGUGUACUAUGUCUUAGUUGUCAAAGCGCGUUCCUUCUUCUUCACUCUAUCCCACAAGCGUGGAGUGAGGCUCGUGGAAGGCGGGGACAUUAAAGUGCGAUGAAGAGUGGGAAAUGGACCGCUGUACAAAGAUUGAUAUUUUUAUAAUAAAGCACUUUUCAUAGAAUGAA
rnacentral:misc_RNA from 1 species